rnacentral:rRNA from 1 species
AGAGUUUGAUUAUGGCUCAGAACGAACGCUGGCGGCGCGUUUUAAGCAUGCAAGUCGAGCGGCAAGGGUCUUCGGGCCCCUAGAGCGGCGGACGGGUGAGUAACACGUGGACAAUCUGCCCCCCGGCCGGGGAUAGCCCAGGGAAACCUGGAUUAAUACCGGAUGAGACGGGACCCGCGGAGGCGGGAUCCGGGAAAGGCGCUGCGGCGCCGCCGGGGGAUGAGUCUGCGUCCCAUUAGCUUGACGGCGGGGUAACGGCCCACCGUGGCGACGAUGGGUAGCCGGCCUGAGAGGGUGGACGGCCACAUUGGAACUGAGACACGGUCCAGACUCCUACGGGAGGCAGCAGCUAAGAAUCUUCCGCAAUGGGCGAAAGCCUGACGGAGCGACGCCGCGUGAACGAAGAAGGCCGUGAGGUUGUAAAGUUCCUUUCGGGAGGGGGAACAACCGUGGCAGGGAAUGGCCGCGGGAUGACGUGAAUCCCGGAAUAAGCCCCGGCUAACUACGUGCCAGCAGCCGCGGUAACACGUAGGGGGCGAGCGUUGUUCGGAAUCAUUGGGCGUAAAGGGCGUGCAGGCGGUCCUGCAAGUCCGGCGUGAAAGACCCCGGCCCAACCGGGGGGGCGCGCUGGAAACUGCAGGGCUUGAGUACAGGAGGGGAUGCCGGAAUUCCAGGUGUAGGGGUGAAAUCUGUAGAUAUCUGGAGGAACACCAAUGGCGAAGGCAGGCAUCUGGCCAUGUACUGACGCUGAGACGCGAAGGUGCGGGGAGCAAACAGGAUUAGAUACCCUGGUAGUC